AACGAACGCUGGCGGCAUGCCUAACACAUGCAAGUCGAACGAGACCUUCGGGUCUAGUGGCGCACGGGUGCGUAACGCGUGGGAACCUGCCUUGAGGUUCGGAAUAACUCUCCGAAAGGGGUGCUAAUACCGAAUAAUGUCUUCGGACCAAAGAUUUAUCGCCUUUAGAUGGGCCCGCGUUGGAUUAGCUUGUUGGUGGG
rnacentral:rRNA from 1 species